CAGUCACGCCACGUUGAAACACCAGUUCUUGUAGGCUCACCGAAGUUAAGCAACGUCGAGUCUGUUCAGUAGCUAGAUAGGUGACCGCCUGGGAAGACAAGGUUCUGUAA